UCCGUAGGUGAACCUGCGGAAGGAUCAUUAAAGAUUCUUGACCUCCAGGUCGAACUCUUCAGCUGUGCGCUUCGGCUGCACGCUGAUAAAACUCACACACCUGUGCACAUUUCGGUCGCAUCCUGCAUGCAGGUUUGCUUCCGCUUUAACAUACAACCACACGUCUCGAAUGUAACAAACUAUAAAGUAACAACUUUCAACAACGGAUCUCUUGGCUCUCGCAUCGAUGAAGAACGCAGCGAAAUGCGAUAAGUAAUGUGAAUUGCAGAAUUCAGUGAAUCAUCGAAUCUUUGAACGCAUCUUGCGCCCCUUGGUAUUCCGAGGAGCAUGCCUGUUUCAGUGUCACGUAAACCCUCACACUUGUGAUGUUACAGUUACAAGCUGUGGAUUUGGACGGUGCCGUAGUUGGCUCGUCCUGAAAAGCAUUAGCUUGCGCUUAUUAGAGUGCUUGGCAUUGGUGUGAUAAUUAUCUGCGCCGUCGCCUUUAUGCCUCUUCGGAAGUGGCUGCUUCUAAUCGGUCCGGCAUGGGGACAACAUUUAACUUGGG
rnacentral:rRNA from 1 species